rnacentral:SRP_RNA from 1 species
CAUGCUAGCCGGGGAAGCAGCGGCUCCCUGUACCUGCAAUCCGCUAUAGCAGGGGUGAUGCCUGUACUGAGGCUUUCAAAGUCUUUGGUCUGCCCUUGGAAUGGGCGUUGACGGCUGAGUCUUGUGCAACAGGAGCUUGUGAAUCGUGUCAGGUUCGGAAGAAAGCAGCACUAAGCAAAUACUUCUGUGUGCCGCAAGGGUGCUUGGCCUGAGCUUUUGAACAAGGUAACGCUCUGGCAGAGAAAGUCAAAGACGGGUGCAUG